rnacentral:rRNA from 1 species
UACAGAGGUGGCAAGCGUUGUUCGGAUUUAUUGGGCGUAAAGGGUCCGUAGGCGGUUUGAAAAGUCAGAUGUGAAAUCCCACAGCUCAACUGUGGAACUGCAUUUGAAACUUUCAGACUAGAGUAUGAGAGGGGUUAAGGGAAUUCCCGGUGUAAGGGUGAAAUCUGCAGAGAUCGGGAGGAACACCAGUCGCGAAGGCGCUUAACUGGCUCAUUACUGACGCUCAGGGACGAAAGCUAGGGGAGCAAACGGG